CAUCGCCAGGGAACUACGAGCCAAGCUUAAAACCCAAAGGACUUGACGGUACCCCACAUCCACCUAGAGGAGCCUGUCCUAUAAUCGAUAACCCCCGCUUAACCUCACCAUUUCUAGUUAAAUCAGCCUGUAUACCUCCGUCGUCAGCUUACCUCGUGAGCGAAAUUUAGUGAGCUUAAUGUCUCUACAUCAAUACGUCAGGUCAAGGUGCAGUAAAUGAAAUGGGAAGAGAUGGGCUACACUCUCUAACCUAGAACAUACGAAAGACUAUAUAUGAAACCCUAGUCAGAAGGCGAAUUUAGCAGUAAAAAGGAACCAUAGUGUCCUUUUUAACCCGGCACUGGGGUGUGUACAC
rnacentral:rRNA from 1 species